AUNAUAAACCCUUUUUANGGCACGCUUAACACNUGCAAGUCGAGCGGGCCCUUCGGGGUCAGCGGCGGACGGGUGAGUAACGCGUGGGAACGUGCCUUCUGGUCUGGAAUAACCCUGGGAAACUAGGGCUAAUACCGGAUACGCCCUUUUGGGGAAAGGUUUACUGCCGGAAGAUCGGCCCGCGUCUGAUUAGCUAGUUGGUGGGGUAACGGCCUACCAAGGCGACGAUCAGUAGCUGGUCUGAGAGGAUGAUCAGCCACACUGGGACUGAGACACGGCCCAGACUCCUACGGGAGGCAGCAGUGGGGAAUAUUGGACAAUGGGCGCAAGCCUGAUCCAGCCAUGCCGCGUGAGUGAUGAAGGCCUUAGGGUUGUAAAGCUCUUUUAUCCGGGACGAUNAUGACGGUACCGGAGGAAUAAGCCCCGGCUAACUUCGUGCCAGCAGCCCGCGGUAAUACGAANGGGGCUAGCGUUGCUCGGAAUCACUGGGCGUAAAGGGGCGCGUANGCNGCGNUUUAAAUCNGGGGUGAAAGCCCUGUGGCUUAACCACAAAAUGGCCUUCGAUACUGGGACCCUUUGANUAUGGUAAAAGGUUGGUUGGAACUUGCAAAUGUAAAAGUUAAAAUNCNUAAAUUUUUCNCAAAAACCACCGNNGGGGAAANGCCGGCCAACUUGGACCAUUUCUGACCCUUAAGCCCCNAAACCCUGGGGACCAAACAGGAUUAAANNACCCUUGNUNUNCNCCCCCUAAACANUNAAAGCCCACUUUUUGGGGUNCNUUGNCCCAAUNNC
rnacentral:rRNA from 1 species